rnacentral:rRNA from 1 species
CAGUCGCCGCGGUAAUACGAAGGGUGCAAGCGUUAAUCGGAAUUACUGGGCGUAAAGCGUGCGUAGGCGGUUUGUUAAGUCUGUUGUGAAAUCCCCGGGCUCAACCUGGGAAUGGCAAUGGAUACUGGCAAGCUAGAGUGUGUCAGAGGAUGGUGGAAUUCCCGGUGUAGCGGUGAAAUGCGUAGAGAUGUGGAGGAAUACCGAUGGCGAAGGCAGCCCCCUGGGCCAAUACUGACGCUCAUGCACGAAAGCGUGGGGAGCAAACAGGAUUAGAUACCCCCGUAGUCCCUGUCUCUUAUAC